UGAAAUUCAAGUCCUUCAAAGCUAAAAGCUAGGAGAAAGGGGUUUCCUUCCUGGUACCCCUCAGAUCUGCUUGGUAGAGUCCAGGAAUAGACCCACGUUACUCAUUGCUUGUAGACUUCUUGGCAUCACAUGCCUCUAGCUCAGGUACUAUAUUCCACUUUGGAGAUUCAGAGGUAACAUAUACACACCUUUGCUACCCUUACGGAGUUCACAGUUGGAGAGAAGAGGAGAUUCUCCUACAGAGAAGAAUGUGUCAGUCAAAGGGGAGUGGAUGAUCUUCUGUCACCCGUGGAAAUACACAAGAAAGAG
rnacentral:lncRNA from 1 species